rnacentral:rRNA from 1 species
GCAGCCGCCGCGGUAAUACAGAGGGUGCGAGCGUUAAUCGGAUUUACUGGGCGUAAAGCGUGCGUAGGCGGCUUUUUAAGUCGGAUGUGAAAUCCCUGAGCUUAACUUAGGAAUUGCAUUCGAUACUGGGAAGCUAGAGUAUGGGAGAGGAUGGUAGAAUUCCAGGUGUAGCGGUGAAAUGCGUAGAGAUCUGGAGGAAUACCGAUGGCGAAGGCAGCCAUCUGGCCUAAUACUGACGCUGAGGUACGAAAGCAUGGGGAGCAAACAGGAUUAGAUACCCCUGUAGUCCCUGUCUCUUAUAA